GCCGAUAUAGCUCAGUCGGUAGAGCAACUCAUUCGUAAUGAGUAGGUCGUUGGUUCGAUUCCGAUUAUCGGCA
rfam:Bulleidia extructa W1219 contig00009, whole genome shotgun sequence.